rnacentral:lncRNA from 1 species
CUGAGGCAGGAGAAUGGCUUGAACCCAGGAGGCAGAGGUUGCAGUGAGCCGAGAUCACACCAUUGCACUCCAGCCUGGGCAACAAGAGCGAAACUCUAUCUAAAAAAAAAAAAAAAAUCCGUCAGCCCGGCCUGUCUUUUUGUGGAGUGCAUGUCUGCAUGAAUGUCCACCCUGUAUGUUUUGUUUGUUUAUAAUCUGAUUUGGACAAACCUACAGAUUUGAGUACAGAGACAUAUAGGCAAGACAAUGAUGGCCUCCAGACAACUAAGACAAGCCAACAGAAAGAGAUGGCGCUGCAACACCAGAUUUGCUCAGGACUUCAUGAAUCCCGGAACAUGCAGUGAACAGCAAGAUGUAAGCCCAACAAAAGGGACAAGAGAUUGAGCCGGUGGAAUAACUCACUCUGGAUGCCCCUCAGCCUUGGGUAAUGGGCCAUGAGUUUUCAAGAUGGAGCGGCCAGUGAGGAAACACCUGUUCCUGCAGCUCCUGCUGCUCUCCUGGCCACUUAGUGUCACUACUCAUGACCCUCACACAGCAGCUGGCAAAGACAGGGCAAUCUGACAGAUCUGCCCAUAUCCCUAAUAAGCUACUAAUGUUCAUUUUAUUACAGCCAGUCUUAUAAAAAUUGAAUUUCAUCUUUUUCAACAAGUAUAGGCCAGGUGUGGUAGCUCAUGCCUGUAAUCCCAGCACUUCGGACAGCCAAGGCGGGCGGAUCGCCUGAGGUCAGGAGUUCGAGACCAGCCUAGCCAACAUGGGGAAACCCCAUCUCUACUAAAAAUACAAAAAUUACCUGGGUAUGGUGGCACAUGCCUGUAGUCCCAGCUGCUUGGGAGGCUGAGGCAGACAACUGCUUGAGCCUGGGAGGCAGAGGUUGUAGUGAGCCGAGAUUGCGCCACCGCACUCCAGCCUGGGGGACAGAGUGAAACUCCAUCUCAAAAACAAAAACAAAAACAAAAAACAAAUAUAUACAAGCUUUAACAUGAAUAUAGGAUCUUUUUAAAAAGCAAGACAUAGUCCUAAUCUUAAACAUUCUUUAUUGAAAUCUAACCACAAUAUGAUAGGAUUCUGCAACUAGCACUAAAGGAAAGGAAAAACAAAAAGCCAAAAAACCUGUCAUUUUUGAAGAUUAUUUGUAGUAUCCAAAGGCUCAAAUGAUGCUUGUCUAUAAUCUCCUGCUUUCCAUGUUAACCCUGCUAGCUACUUCUUUCCUUCCCCCACAUAUAACUCCUAAAAAGAAAUGUAGUCACUGAGAUCAUAAUUCACGGCUUAUCAAAGGUUCUUUAAGUUUAAGAAUAAAGUAUGUUUUACCCUCAAAGAGAAUAUUGUAAGAGCAUAUGAGCCAUGGGUUAAAAUUCUAAAUUAUUUAUCCAAGUAUGUAUAUGUUUGUUACAAGCUGCUAAAAAUCUUUCCUUAUUUUUGCAAAUCUGAUAGGUAAACUAUUAUCAGUUCUACAUUCCAUAUUUAUAAGGAUAUACAUACACAUUCUGAUACCAAACAUGACCCAGAAACCAUACAACUUUGUAACAGUAACCACAUUGGUGGGAGUUACUAAAAAUGGCUUUUAGUUUAGGCUGGGUGUGGUGUCUCAGGCCCAGCACUUUGGGGAGCAGAGGCAGGACGACUGCUUGAGGCCAGAAGUUCCAGACCAGCCUGGCAACACAGUAAGAACCUGACUUCACAAAACAAAUUUAAAAAUAAAAAAUUAGUCGGGUAUGGUGGUAAACACCUGCAGUCCCAGCUACUCAGGAGGCUGAAGUGAGAGGAUCAUUUGAGCCCAGGAGUUCAAGGCUGCAGUGAGCUAUGAUUACGUCACUGCACUCUAGCCUGGGUGACACAGUAAGACCAUAUCUCAAAAAAAAAAAAAAAAGCUUUAAAUAUUUGGAUGGAUCUGACACACUACACAGCUAUAGAGAUGUGGCUUCCAAAUCUUCUAAAGUGAUCCUGAUUUAGAAUAUUCUCUCUGGCAGAAAAAGCAAGCU